rnacentral:rRNA from 1 species
UACAGAGGGGGCAAGCGUUGUUCGGAAUUACUGGGCGUAAAGGGCGCGUAGGCGGCCUGCUAAGUCGAACGUGAAAUCCCUGGGCUCAACCCAGGAACUGCGUCCGAUACUGGUUGGCUUGAAUCCGGGAGAGGGAUGCGGAAUUCCAGGUGUAGCGGUGAAAUGACGUAGAUAUCUGGAGGAACACCGGUGGCGAAGGCGGCAUCCUGGACCGGUAUUGACGCUGAGGCGCGAAAGCCAGGGGAGCAAAGCGGG